UACGAAGGGGGCUAGCGUUGUUCGGAUUCACUGGGCGUAAAGCGCACGUCGGCGGAUUUGUCAGUCAGGGGUGAAAUCCCGGGGCUCAACCUCGGCACUGCCUUUGAUACAGCAAAUCUCGAGUCCGGAAGAGGUGGGUGGAAUUCCUAGUGUAGAGGUGAAAUUCGUAGAUAUUAGGAAGAACACCAGUGGCGAAGGCUGCCCACUGGUCCGGUACUGACGCUGAGGUGCGAAAUCGUGGGGAGCAAACAGG
rnacentral:rRNA from 1 species